rnacentral:rRNA from 1 species
GACGAACGCUGGCGGCGUGCCUAAUACAUGCAAGUAGAACGCUGAAGGAGGAGCUUGCUUCUCCGGAUGAGUUGCGAACGGGUGAGUAACGCGUAGGUAACCUGCCUUGUAGCGGGGGAUAACUAUUGGAAACGAUAGCUAAUACCGCAUAACAGUAGAUAUUGCAUGAUAUCUGCUUGAAAGGUGCAAUUGCAUCGCUACCAGAUGGGCCUGCGGUGUAUUUGCUAGUUGGUGAGGUAACGGAUCACCAAGGCGACGAUACAUAGCCGACCGGCGAGGGGGAGUGGCCAGCCUGGGACUGAGACACGGCCCAGACGCCUUGGGGAGGCAGCAGGAGGGAAUCUUCGGGAAGAGAUGGAAGUCUGACCGAGAAACGCCGAGUGAGUGAAGAAGGUUGUCGGAUCGUAAAGCUCGGUUGUAAGAGAAGAACGAGUGUGAGAGUGGAAAGUUCACACUGUGACGGUAUCUGAUAAGAAAGGGACGGCUAACUACGUG